rnacentral:rRNA from 1 species
UAGGGAAUCUUCGGCAAUGGGGGGAACCCUGACCGAGCAACGCCGCUUGAGUGAAGAAGGUUUUCGGAUCGUAAAGCUCUGUUGUUAAGGAAGAACGAGUGUGAGAAUGGAAAGUUCAUGCUGUGACGGUACUUAACCAGAAAGCCACGGCUAACUACGUGCCAGCAGCCGCGGUAAUACGUAGGUGGCAAGCGUUGUCCGGAAUUAUUGGGCGUAAAGCGCGCGCAGGUGGUUUAGAAAGUCUGAUGUGAAAGCCCACGGCUCAACCGUGGAGGGUCAUUGGAAACUAAUAAACUUGAGUGCAGGAGAGAAAAGUGGAAUUCCUAGUGUAGCGGUGAAAUGCGUAGAGAUUAGGAGGAACACCGGUGGCGAAAGCGGCUUUUUGGCCUGCAACUGACACUGAGGCGCGAAAGCGUGGGGAGCAAACAGG